GGCAACUGCCUCGAAAGGGGGGUGACUCAGUUGUACGAAAUUGUCUCAUUAAUCAUUGCCCCACUUUUUGUGGUUCUAGUAAUCGUGCUAGUUAAUCACUGGCUAGAUGAUUAGCAAUGAUUGAAACAGUUGCUUUUCUAGCUCCAACGCUGGAGUCGCAACAGUGAAAAG
rnacentral:ncRNA from 23 species